rnacentral:rRNA from 1 species
AUGUCCCGGGCUGAAGUUCGCACCACUUUCCUAGAGGAUCGUGCAGAGGAUUACCAUGGGGACACUUAUCACUUGAUUGCCAGGAACUGUUACCAUUUCACAGCUGACGUCUGCAAGCACUUCACGGGAAAGCCAACUCCUGGAUGGGUGAAUCGACUUGCCAGAUUAGUUGCAGCACUAUGUUCCAUCUGCAACUCUGUGCUGACUGAAAACAUCAAGGUUUCAGCGGUUAGAGGUGAAACUGCACACCUUGAAUUCUCUGUCACUAAGAAACAAGUUACUAACCCAUCUAGUCUUGCCGAUAAUAGCCGAGAACCACAACCACCAGCAUGCAGCUCAGGCAAUGGGCGGAGAACGGAUGGUUGCCCACUUCACGUAAAGCGAAUGGUGGAUGGAAGGCGACCUCACAAGGAACCAGGGCCACGACUUGCAGUGGGCAACCGGUGGCGAAUGGAGGGCUUCCUCGCCGGUUACCUCAUCUAUUAG